GCUGGGUGCAGUGGAGCAUGCCUGUAGUCCUAGCAACUCUGGAGACUGAGGCAGGAGACUCACAAGUUCAAGGACAGCCUCAGCAACUUAGCAAGGUCCUAAACAACUUAGUGAGACCCUGCCUCAAAAUAAAAAAAUAAAUGGGCUGGGGAUGUAGCUCAGUGGUAAAGUAUCCCUGGGUUAAAUCCCCAGCAGCAGGGCCUUACUAAGUUGCUGAGGCUGAUCUUGAACUUAUAAUCCUCCUGCCUCAG
rnacentral:sRNA from 1 species